rnacentral:rRNA from 1 species
GACAAACGCUGGCGGCAUGCCUAACACAUGCAAGUCGAACGGACAGAACAGGGAAGCUUUUCGGAGUGGAACUGGAAAGUUAGUGGCGGAUGGGUGAGUAACGCGUGGACAACCUACCUUGUAAAGGGGAAUAACCUCGAGAAAUCGAAGCUAAUACCCCAUAAUAACCUUGCUUCGCAUGAAGUAAGGAGGAAAGGCGGCCUUAGCGCUGUCGAUACAAGAUGGGUCCGCGUCUGAUUAGCUAGUUGGUGAGGUAAAGGCUCACCAAGGCGACGAUCAGUAGCCGGCCUGAGAGGGUGAAUGGCCACAUUGGGACUGAGACACGGCCCAAACUCCUACGGGAGGCAGCAGUGGGGAAUCUUCCGCAAUGGGCGAAAGCCUGACGGAGCAAUGCCGCGUGAGUGAAGAAGGCCUUCGGGCUGUAAAACUCUGUCCUUAUCGAAGAGAGAGUGUUGUAGUAACUGACAAUACUAGGACGGUAGAUGAGGAGGAAGCCCCGGCUAACUAUGUG